GUUGAACCUGCAAUGGCUCAUUAAAUCAGUUAUGGUUCCUUGGAUCGUACUUUACCACUUGGAUAACUGUGGCAAUUCUAGAGCUAAUACAUGCAGCAGAGCUCCGACCUUCGGGGACGAGCGCUUUUAUUAGACCAAAACCAAUCGGGCCUCGUGUCCGUUGAACGUGGUGACUCUGUAUAACUUUUGGCUGAUCGCACGGGCCUGUCCCGGCGACGUAUCUUUCAAGUGUCUGCCUUAUCAACUGUCGAUGGUAGGUUACGCGCCUACCAUGGUCGUAACGGGUGACGGGGAAUCAGGGUUCGAUUCCGGAGAGGGAGCCUGAGAAACGGCUACCACAUCCAAGGAAGGCAGCAGGCGCGCAAAUUACCCAAUCCCAGAACGGGGAGGUAGUGACGAAAAAUAACAAUACGGGACUCUUUUGAGACCCCGUAAUUGGAAUGAGUACACUCUAAACUCUUUUUCGAUUAUCAAUUGGAGGGCAAGCCUAGUGCCAGCAGCCGCGGUAAUUCUAGCUCCAAUAGCGUAUAUUAAAGUUGUUGCGGUUAAAAAGCUCGUAGUUGGAUCUCAGUUCCAGUCGGGCGGUCCGCCUACCGGCGAUAACUGCCCGUUCUGAACACGGCAGCCGGUUUCCCUUGAUGAUCUUCACCGGUUGUCUCGGGUGACCGGCAAGUUUACUUUGAAAAAAUUAGAGUGCUCAAAGCAGGCGCGACGCCUGAAUAAUGGUGCAUGGAAUAAUGGAAUAGGACCUCGGUUCUAUUUUGUUGGUUUUCGGAACACGAGGUAAUGAUUAAUAGGGACAGACGGGGGCAUUCGUAUUGCGACGCUAGAGGUGAAAUUCUUGGACCGUCGCAAGACGAACUACUGCGAAAGCAUUUGCCAAGAAUGUUUCCAUCAAUCAAGAACGAAAGUUAGAGGAUCGAAGGCGAUCAGAUACCGCCCUAGUUCUAACCAUAAACGAUGCCAGCCAGCGAUCCGGCUGUGUUCCUCAAAUGACACGCCGGGCAGCUUCCAGGAAACUAUUGCUAGGUUCCGGGGGAAGUAUGGUUGCAAAGCUGAAACUUAAAGGAAUUGACGGAAGAGCACCACAAGGCAUGGAGCUUGCGGCUUAAUUUGACUCAACACACGGGAGCCUACCCGGCCCGGACACAGGAAGGAUUGACAGAUUGAGAGCUCUUUCUUGAUUCUGUGGGUGGUGGUGCAUGGCCGUUCUUAGUUGGUGGGGCGACUUGUCUGGUCAAUUCCGAUAACGAACGAGAUUCUAACCUACUAAAUAGACGCUCCGAUCCUUCGAGUCGGAUGUCUUCUUAGAGGGACAGGCGGCGUUUAGCCGCACGAGACAGAGCAAUAACAGGUCUGUUAUGCCCUUAGAUGUCCGGGGCCGCACGCGUGCUACAUUGAAGGAAUCAUCGUGUGCUUUCCCUGUCCGAAAGGACUGGGUAACCCGUUGAAACUCCUUCGUGCUAGGGAUAGGGGAUUGUAAUUAUCCCCCUUGAACGAGGAAUGCCCAGUAAGCGCGAGUCACCAGCUCGCGUUGAUUGCGUCCCUGCUCUUUGUCCACACCGCCCGUCGCUAUGACCGAUUGAAUGAUUUAGUGAGGUCUUCGGACUGGCGCUCGGAUUGGCUUUCGGGUCGAGCCGACGUGCCGGAAAGAUGACCGAACUUGAUUAUUUAGAGGACAUAAAAGUCGUAACAAGGUUACCGUAGGUGAACCUGCG
rnacentral:rRNA from 1 species